CCCCCGAAGCAUGUGUUGUCGCCCCGAUGAAAUAUUCUUAGACUAGGUCCCUUAUGUUAGUUGUUUUAGGGACAUUAAAGUGAGAAUAACGGGAAUGGGUAAUUGGGUUAUUGUUGGUUGGUGAAAAUUAAAUAUGAUAUUUAUUGUGGGUUGAAAACCCUAUAUGCUCACCAGGCUCCCAAGCCUGACCCACUCAGUUUUAAAUUGUAUUACAGGUAGUGGCGGAAGGGCAUGAGAUGGAUGAACCAUCAAGUUGUUUUGUUUACAAGUCUGCAUAUGUUUAUAUUUGUUAUAUGACUUGUAAUGUAUUCGUUUAUGCUUAUUGGUCUGUAUCGGAACAUGACACCCCGAGUUUUGAUUAUAAUGAAAAUACAUUUCUUUUAUGAAAUGCUUCGGUAAACAAUGUUUUAUCAUGUUUUGUUUUUGGGAACAAAUUCCGCAACUCUUUCAAAUCAAAAGGAUUUACUCUGAAAAUAUUUAAAAGCAUAAAUGAAAAUCGGUCUUUUCUGGCCGAGAUUUUGGGGAUGUCACAGUUGGUAUCAGAGCAUUAGUUUAAGCGAACUAGGAAUUUGUAGGAUUUCUAGACUUAAACUUAGAAUGCUAAGUGAAGUUUUGAGAUGUGUGUCUGUUGUGUUUUAGACACGAGCACUAGUUUAUUUUAGGAAAGUUGCCUAAAAUGCUUUAUGUGCUAAAUGUUAUAUGUUGCCAUAUAUGAUAUUAUUUGUUCGGAUCUAUGGUCUGUUGCCGACCGGAUCUAGAAACCUUAUGUGUGUAGGAUUCUAAGCGUACGUCUACGAUAUUAGAACUAGCAUGUAAACGUUUCGGAGUGAUAAGGAUGAUUUGAAUAUCUAUCAUGAUUGAGGAUCUAAUUUCACCUUAUUCGGGGUGUAGAUCAAAAUGGUGAGAACAAGAAGUGGAGUUGGAAAUGCUGACGAAAACAGGAAUCAACCACCAGUGAUUGAGCCAAUACCUGUCGUAGCAGCAGCACCUGAGCCAAUAACCAUGGCUGGUGUGCAAUUGAUGAUUCAGACGAUGUUGGAUCGUCAGAUGGAUGAAACUAGACGGUUGCUUCAACAAAAUCGUGAAGAACUGUCGAUUCGUGUGGAAGAGCCUGAAUUAAAUGAAGGGCACUCGGAAGGUGGAAACUUCAGUGGGUCUGUUGGUCCAGCCAACCCACCGAUAGUUAGGCAAGAUAACCAUGAAGGAAGGAAUGAUGGAAUGGGAUGCAAGUACAAGGACUUUUUGACUUGCAAACCAUCGACCUUCAAUGGAAAGGAGGAUCCGAUUGGGGUUAUGGAUUGGAUCUCCGAAAUGGAGUUAGCCUUUAUGACAUGUGGCUGCAGAGGUAAGUUGCAGACUAUCUAUGCCGUGCGACAAUUCCGAGGUGGAGCCGUUCGUUGGUGGAACACUCUAGGGAAGACCUUAAGCCCUAAUGAGCCACUGCAAUUGUCAUGGGCAGAGUUCUUGGUGCAGUUCAAGCGCAAGUUCUGCUCGGCUCAAAAUCUGUUGGAGUUGGAGAAUAAGUUUUUGACAUUGACGAAGGGUAGCAUGUCAGUUGAUGAAUACACCAAUAACUUCACCGAUAAGAUGGAGUUUGCCUUGCGUAUCGUUCCAGACGAGCUGACAAAGGUGGAUCGGUAUGCGAAGGGACUUCCAUGGGAGUACGAGGUGCCGGUACGUCAGGCACUUACUCUAGAGGCAGCUAUCUGGGCUGCCAAGUCUGUGGAGAACAUGAUCAAGGGGAGAACCACCGUCAAGGUUGAGGUUGGUGAGAAAAGGAAGUUUGAAGGAACAUCUGGUUCCAGUAAGAAGAGCAAAUUUUCGAAAUCUGAUUCGAAAAAGUUUGGAGGAAAAGGAGGCGAAGCAAAGUGGUGUGAUAAGUGUAAGAAAAAGCACUUUGGGAAAUGUAGCGAGGAUGUGACCUGCUACAAGUGUGGAAAGGUUGGACAUUUUGCCAAUGAAUGUCCGAACAACAAAAGGAUGUGUUUUGGUUGUAAUGAAGAGGGGCAUAUUUUGAAAGACUGUCCGAAGAAGAAGGAGGCAGCUAGGCCCAACAUUCCACCAAAGCCGAAGGCGAGAGCCUUCCAGAUGACACUUGAGGCUGCGAAAGAUGAAGCUGAUGUCGCUUCAGGUACCUUUCUCGUAAACGAAUUACCUGCUCAUAUAUUGUUUGAUUCUGGAGCCAACUACUCCUUUAUUUCGCAUGAGUUUGGUAGAAAGCUAGCUUUGCCUGUUGAUAGACUAAAUAAUGCUUUAUUAGUCGAAGUAGCUAGUGGCAAGUUUGUACCUGUUAGCCAUCGUAUGAAAAACGUCUUGAUCGACCUUAAUGGGAAUAAGUUUCUCGAGGAAUUAUUGCCUAUCGAACUAAAUGGUUUCGACAUCGUCUUGGGAAUGGAUUGGCUUAGCGCCAAUGAUGCCGAAAUUUUGUGCAAGAAGAAGAUAGUUAAAGUAAACCCGCCUGGAAAAGAUUCGUUUAUGGUGUAUGGGGACAAACGCAGAGUGAAUUCUGGAAUCAUUUCUCUAAUGAAAGCCAGAAAGUGUUUGACCAAGGGAUGUACAUCAUAUUUAGCAUUCGUGAUUGAUGCUAAGAAAGAAAAGAAGGUGAUGCAGAGCAUUCCAGUGGUGUGUGAUUAUCCGGAAGUAUUUCCCGAGGAUCUUCCUGGAUUACCACCUGAUAGACAAGUGGAGUUCAGAAUAGACUUGUUACCAGGAACCACGCCAAUAGCAAAAGCACCUUAUCGAUUAGCACCGACGGAGAUGAAGGAGCUAAUGAUGCAACUUCAGGAGUUAUUGGACAAAGGUUUCAUUAGACCUAGUUCAUCGCCCUGGGGAGCUCCGGUGUUAUUUGUAAAGAAGAAAGAUGGAAGUAUGAGAAUGUGCAUCGAUUACAGAGAGCUGAACAAGGCAACAAUAAAGAAUAGAUAUCCGUUGCCGAGGAUUGAUGACCUGUUUGAUCAAUUGCAAGGUUCGAGCUAUUUCUCGAAGAUCGAUCUUAGGUCAGGAUAUCAUCAGCUGAAAGUAAGAGAGCAAGAUAUCGAGAAGACUGCAUUCAGAACUAGAUAUGGACACUACGAGUUCUUGGUUAUGUCGUUUGGACUAACCAAUGCUCCAGCAGCGUUCAUGGAUUUGAUGAAUAGGGUUUGUAAUCCUUUCCUUGAUAAAUCCGUGAUAGUGUUCAUAGACGACAUUCUGAUCUACUCGAAAAGCCAGGAGGAGCAUGGCAGACACUUGCGAGAAGUGUUAGAAGUUUUGAAGAAGGAGAAGCUUUAUGCGAAGUUCUCCAAAUGUGAUUUUUGGAUUCGUGAAGUCCAAUUCUUGGGUCACGUGGUCAACCAAGAAGGGAUAAUGGUUGAUCCAGCGAAGAUCGAAGCUGUGACGAAGUGGGAACAACCGAAAAGUCCCACGGAGAUUCGAAGCUUUUUAGGAUUAGCCGGAUAUUACCGAAGGUUUAUCCAAGGCUUUUCUUCGAUUGCUACUCCAUUAACAGCUUUGACCCACAAAGGAGCUACUUAUGCUUGGAGUGAGAAGCAUAAAGAAGCAUUCGAGAAGUUAAAGAAGAAGCUAUGCGAGGCACCGAUACUUUCUCUACCCGAUGGAGUUGAAGACUUCGCUGUUUAUAGCGAUGCGUCUGGUGUUGGAUUGGGUUGUGUUUUGACCCAAAGAGAAAAGGUGAUAGCAUAUGCGUCUCGACAGCUGAAAGAGCAUGAAAAGAAUUACCCGACUCAUGAUUUGGAGUUGGCAGCGGUAGUUUUCGCUCUGAAAAUAUGGAGGCAUUACCUCUAUGGCACGAAGUGCAAACUUUUCACUGAUCAUAAGAGUCUCCAAUACCUCUUUAAUCAGAAAGAAUUGAAUAUGAGGCAACGACGCUGGCUAGAAUUACUUAAAGACUACGACUGCGAGAUACUUUACCACCCCGGUAAAGCUAAUGUUGUUGCUGAUGCUCUCAGUCGGAAGGUCAAUCUUGAAAGGAAGAGGCCAAGAGCGUUGAGAAUUGAAGUUGUCUCGACCAUUGUGGAAAGUAUAAAGAAAGCUCAAGAGGAAGCUUCUGAGAAAAAUGACCGAAAGGAGGAACGUUUGGGUAAAACGUUGGUGUUUGGUACUAACGGUCAUGGACUGAAGGUAUUCCAAGAUCGUAUUUGGGUACCUAAGUCAGGAGGAAUUAGAGAUCUUCUGAUGGAAGAAGCUCACAAGACCAUGUACUCGAUUCAUCCGGGUAGCACUAAAAUGUAUAGGGACCUGAAACCCUACUACUGGUGGCCGACGAUGAAGCUUGAUGUUGCAAAGUAUGUGGCCGAGUGUGUGACUUGUGCGAGAGUCAAGACACAACAUCAGAAACCGUACGGGAGUUUAGAACCUUUGCCUGUGCCUAUGGGUAAGUGGGAAGACAUUGCUAUGGAUUUUGUCACUAAACUGCCCAGAACAAAGAAUGGUCACGACAUGAUUUGGGUGGUCGUUGAUCGAUUCACUAAGAGUGCGCAUUUCAUAGCGGCCAGGGAGAAAUGGUCUAUGGAAAAGCUUGCGAAUUCUUACGUGAAGGAAAUUGUGAGGCUUCACGGUGUUCCGUUAACGAUUGUAUCGGAUCGUGAUAGCCGUUUCACCUCAAGGUUUUGGAAAAGUCUACAAGAGGAAAUGGGUACCAAGUUAUGUUUAAGCACAGCUUACCAUCCGCAGACUGAUGGUCAGAGUGAAAGAACAAUACAAACACUUGAAGAUAUGCUGAGAGCAUGUACCUUGGAAUUCCUAGGUAAUUGGGAUGAACAUUUACCGUUGGUAGAAUUUUCCUAUAAUAAUAGUUUUCACUCGAGCAUUAAGAUGGCACCUUAUCAAGCUUUGUAUGGACAGAAGUGUCGUACGCCGUCUUGUUGGCUUGAGGCUGGGGAAAAGCAGUUUAUGGGACCGGAGUUGGUUCAUCAAACUGCUGAAAAGUUGAAAAUAAUUAGGGAAAGAAUGUUAGCAGCUCAAGAUCGUCAAAAGAGCUAUGCUGACAAGAAGCGAAGACCGAUGACUUUUGAGGUUGGAGAUUCGGUUUUGCUUAAAGUCUCGCCGUGGAAGGGACUUAUAAGAUUUGGUAAAAGGGGAAAGUUGAGUCCAAGGUUUAUUGGACCGUUUAGAGUCCUUCAGAGGAUUGGGAAUCAAGCUUACAAGCUCGAAUUACCCGAAGAACUGAAUGGAAUUCACAACACCUUUCAUGUGUGUUAUUUGAGGAAGUUCACGGGAGAAGUUCCCGAUAUAAUUCCAAUUUCUGAAUUGAGAAUUGAUGAGAACAAAAGGUUGAUUGAAGAACCAGAGGCAAUUGUUGACCGAAAGACUAAGAAGUUGCGACGCAAAAUGGUUGGGUUAGUGCUUGUCCGAUGGAAACACACGAAUGGGCCGAAUCUCACCUGGGAGACGGAGAGUGACAUGUUGAGUCGCUAUCCGCAUUUGUUUGUUGAUGUGUGAUUCCGGGGACGGAAUCAUUCUAAGGUGGAGAGAAUUGUAACGCCUGUGUUUCGGGCUUGCCAUUUGUAGCAAUGUAAUAGUCUAGGUUAACCUCUGUAACCCGUUUUGAAAUAAUAAGAUUGUAUUAUUUGAGUAUUGUGUGUUUUGUGCUUAAUUGCUUAAUUAUGUGGUUUGAUUAAUUAAGAAUAAAAAUAAGCGUCAAAAUUUAAGUGUAAAAUAAACUUAAUAUAUUUGGUUAAUGUUGUAGUAGUUGAAACGAGGUUUCCGAAUAUAUAUAGAACGCCCAAAUCUGACUUCGUAUGAGGAAGUUAUGAUUUAUCGAAGUUCCGGCUUAGCGAUAUACAGCCUGUUUUACUCGAUUUGAGAUCGAGCGGUUGUUAGCCGAAGCAAUCUAAAUGAGAAUCGAAGAUCUCAUUGUUGGUAUUGAAACGAUAAAAAGUUAGGCGAGAACGGACGUCAAACGAAGAAGUUAUGAAUUUAUAACGAAAGUUUCUGUCCCGGCCUAUUAAAAAUAAUUAAUAAAAAUAAAGUCAAAAUUAGCCGACGGAGUCUAAACGAAAGUCGUAGAGCGUGGUCUCACCUUCGCGUGGAUAUAAAGAACGUCGAAAACGGAGUUCGUAUGAAGAAGUUAUGAAUUUCCGAAGUUUAUUAAUCAUUUUGUAUUUAUAUUUAAAUCAAAAUUCGGAAGCAUUAUCCGAAGGAGUCACCGAUCUGAUCCGAGGUACGCCCCGCGUACUCGAGUACGCCCCGCGUACUCCGAGGGAUGUCGACACUCGCACUCGAGCACUUCGGAUACGUAAGCAAUGACGUUUUGGGCAGUACGCCCCGCGUAACGCAGUACGCCCCGCGUACUCCGAGGCUCCAGCCUCCUAUAAAUAGGAUGCGAGGGUUCCGGGUAUUUUUGCCAAUUCCCUCUCGUUUUCGUGUCGAAGCUCUGUGCAAAAACCCCCGAAGCUACCCCGAAGCCCCGGUAUCAUACUCUAGCCCCGAGGCAAGUCCCGAGAUCCCGAAGAUCCCGAGAAGUGCGGUUCCCGAGUCGAAGCUCUGCCCGCGAGAAGUUCGAUUUUCGAGAAGAUCUUCCAGAUCUGCUGUGGAUUACUACUUCUAUAAGCCGUAGUGCUGUCCGAUCAUCUUCUGAUCAAGUGAGUGUGUAGUUAUUUCUUCUAAUACAAUAAUACGAAGUAUUUUAUAUAAAAAUACGUGCUAUGUGUAUAUAUUUGGUUGUGUUAUGUGUGAAUGAGUAUUCACUCUCUUCUAUCUUAUAGAUCUGCUUAUUUCUUUAUGAGAUAUGUGUUAUGUGUGUGUGUGCCUCAUCUGUUAUGUGAUAUAUGUGUUGAUUAAAGCAUGCUAUACAGGUUUUCUUUAAACUAUGUAUACAAAUGUAUAUUUUUAUCUACUAAUAUGUUGGGUAGAACAUGGGUAGACAGUUGGUGUGUAAUAAACAGAUGAGAGGCCUCGUUGUUGUUUGAUUGAGUCAUCUAGCGGAGUUUAGAUGACGACCACUGGCUAUUCUAGACAGUCUUGUGGAAACAUUAGCAGGUUCGCCACCUGUAGGUGUUAAUGAACUUGGGUGUUCAUUCGCUGUACUCCAUCCCCCUCAUGGUUGCCUUAUUUGACUUAUAUUGCUGAGGUACCCCCGAAGCAUGUGUUGUCGCCCCGAUGAAAUAUUCUUAGACUAGGUCCCUUAUGUUAGUUGUUUUAGGGACAUAAAGUGAGAAUAACGGGAAUGGGUAAUUGGGUUAUUGUUGGUUGGUGGAAUUAAAUAUAAUUAUUUAUUGUGGGUUGAAAACCCUAUAUGCUCACCAGGCUCCCAAGCCUGACCCACUCAGUUUUAUUUGUAUUACAGGAAGUGGCGCAAGGGCAUAAUAUGGAUGAACCAUCAAGUUGUUUUGUUUACAAGUCUGUAUAUGUAUAUAUUUGUUGAAUGACUUGUAAUGUUAUCGUUUAUGCUUAUUGGUCUGUAUUGGAACAUGACACCCCGAGUUUUGAUUAUAUAAUGAAAAAUACAUUUCUUUUAUGAAAUGCUUUGGUAAACAUUGUUUUAUCAUGUUUUGUUUUUGGGAACAAAUUCCGCAACUCUUUCAAAUCAAAAGGAUUUACUCUGAAAAUAUUUUAAAAGCAUAAAUGAAAAUCGGUCUUUUCUGGCCGAGAUUUUGCGGAUGUCACAUUAGAUGAGCCCAAUAUCUGUACAUAAAGAGGUAGUGGUCGUGACAAGGAUUCCAAAUAUAUAAAGAAUGUCGAAAUCUGAGUUACAACGAAGAAGUUAUGACCAGUCGAAGUUUCGCGACAGAACCGGUACGACACUGCGUGAUGUAAAUAGCGAACUUAAGAUAGAGCGAUUUUUAGCCUUAGC
rnacentral:lncRNA from 1 species